CAGACAGCAGCCGCAGCUCGACGCUGAAGUUCACUUCCUAUUGAGUGUCGGACAACCGGCCAAAAAGAAUAGCCAGAGGGUUCUGGUCGUCUUCUAUAUACCAACGUCAGACUUACUUCGGUGGAAAAGAGCUUGAGGCCUUGAAGGUUCACUGAAAUCUCUUUCUGAAAAACAUUAAUCCUUCGCCUCUUCGCCCGUCUGCAUCAUAACAAGAAGGGAAACUCUCUGCGCGAUUCCUGGAUUUGCUGCCUCGGAGUAUUGGUUAACUGGCUGGAGUGGAAAAGCACGUCAUAGCAGGUGCAUAAACCUGCUCAACCUUAAACCCUCCCUUUAUUUAUUGUCUUCUUCUCCCUCACCUGAGAAAAGAAUGAAAAAGUCUCAGAUGUCGGUGUACUGCUGCUUUUUCUCUCUUUUUAUUAUUUGUUCCCCAAGGGGGGAAAAAGAUGAGGAAAAAAAUAAAUAACAGGGUGGCAGCUAUAUUAAUUUCGAAAAUUUCUUGAUCUAGCUCUUGGUUUUUCCUCGAAACAUUUCCCAUUUUAGAAGCACACUUGUGACAGAGCGCCUCUCCCUCCAUUUCCGUUCAUGUUUUAUUUUACUUUUACUUUGCCUUAUUAGCUUUUUGCAGGGAAGCAGAAGGAGGAACUCAACCAUGGCGCUGUUAAUGCAACUCCUCCUGGCCACAUUAUAACAUUUAAACCUGAGACUAACAAAAAAUAUCACCCUCACUGCCAAAAAGAAAUCAUGGAGAGUUGUGCCGUUCCUUUAGGCUGUUUAUUUUUAGCAUAAUUGUGUGUGUUUUCAUGAUUACUGUAUUGAGUUUCUUGUGCACACUAUUUUAAGUCAGUGUUACACACAAGAACACAACGCCCAGAUCUACAGACAAUAUUUGCUUGAUUGCCACACCCGUCUGUUCACAUAAUGUGGAUUCAUUCCUGAACUGUUUCUUAACUACAUUCACCUUAUUGUCUCCAACAUCAUAAGCAGAACCAGCCCUUUAUUGCUAGGGUGUGUAAAAUAAAGUUUGAAUUUUACCCAAUAUGUUAAAACAUAUAAAUGAAGAUACCUGUUCUCUUUAGCAAUAUUUUUUAUGCCAAACUGUUUAUUCAUUAUUAGAACAACUAAUGUAUCACUUCCUGCAUUUGGUGAUGUUUAAUUACAUUCCUAAAUUAAUGUCAGACUUAAAAUAAUGAGACAGAAUUCAGGUCUUAACCUGAGUAUUUAUUCUGGUUGUUACUGUUAUUGUUCAGUUUCUUUUUUAAAUAUAUGUAUAUAUAUAUUUUUUUAUUGGAGGGGUGUCUGAGUGAAUGCUGAAAAAUUCCCAUCCUUUGAUAUUUUUUUUUGCAUAGAUCUUGUCUGUCAGUGGAUGACUUGUUCAAGAAUGGGGAAUCAGUACAUCACAAAAACCAUGCAGAAACAGUGAAAAGGCACAAUCACCAUAAAUAUCAGAUACACAAAAUUUCAAAUGUUUAUAGGUUUAUCUUUUUUUUUUUAAUGAAUGAGGGAGGGGUUGUACCAACUCAGGUGUAAUAUGGACAAAUCCUCCCGAGUAUUUUUAAGCUGCCAUUAUUUUCAGGGCACAACAUAAUACAGGAAAUCACCUCCCAUACAUUCGAUGCCUUUUGUUUGAAACACCCAUAAUGUUAAACAACUUCUAAUAGCUAUGUGGGAAAAUACGAGCAUGUCCAUCUUUUUUUUUCCUUUAAUGCAGUACAUUUCUUUUCAUAUAUAGAAACUAUUUGUCUUUUGCCUCUUUUUGUCCACAUCCCUCACAUCCAUCCACAACCAAUUUUUGAGAACUUUCACGCAAAGCAUAACACCUUAAUGAUAAUCAGACACAACAUACAGAAAACAUUUUUCAUUUUUGAGUGAGGAAGGGGGUGGAGAGGGGAAUAAAAAAGAUUCAAAACAGAAAACAUUUUCCACCUGCAAUCUGUGGUGAUUUUGCACACUUACACACACUUGUGAUCUUUCACUGUUUUAUUUGCAACAGAUUAACAUUAUCUACCUCUCAGGCACAGUAUAGUGUUGGAAUACUGUGGAUGUCAUUAAAGACAGCACUAUAUGUUGUGUGUGUGUGGGGAGGUGAUGAGUUCAACACCUUAUAUGCUCUGCAUUAUUUUGGAUAUAAAUGAUUACAUAAUGUUUAUCUUCAAAGCAAGCAAAAAAAUAAAACAAGGUAGUAUUCACUUUUUUUAUAUUUUGAGUGCAAAGACUUUUUCAUUCGGCCACAAGAGGAAACAAAAAAGGUACAUCAGAAAAAAAAAUCAUAUAAUGUCACUCAUUCAAGCAAAACAUCAAGACAACAAUCAGAAAUGAAUCCACAGACAAUCUUUCUGUUGAACUUGAACUCCUUCAGAGAUGUAUUCAAACUAUGUCAUCGUUGCUGUGUGACGUUGUUACCAUUCAUGUAGCAGGUGCUGUGCGACACUGCCCUCUACAGGCCAGGGUUUGCCUAUGGCAAAUUAACUGAGUUUAGUGAUGUUUUGGGUGUCAUUCUGAGACCAUUUGCAGCCUCAUCGAACCUCAGUCCCCACUCGACGCUAUGUCCAGAGGCUUUGACAUCUAUAACGGAGAGUUGUAAAUUGUUUUCUAAUAUUUACAAGAAAAAUAAAUGACCAACACUUUUUUUUUAUAUAUAUAUAAUUAGUAUUUUCCCCCAUAUAGGAAAGGUUCUAGCAUUUAGUAUGCCAGUACACCUUCUCACGUUUCAGGAUCCAAAACAAAAAAAGUUUCACAAAAGUAAAAACGGAAAGAAAGAAAGAAAAAAACAAGCACACAGCACACUGCUAAAACUUUUACCCACACGAUAUCUGACAGUGCAAACUUACAUCCAUGUCUUAAAAUAAUUUACAAACAUUAGUAUACACUUCAGCACCAUUGUUUAAUAUUGUUGAAUACAUAUCAGUAAGCGAGAUUGUAAAAGUGGAUGAUGUCAGAACUGGAUGUUCAAGCAACAAAAAGGGCUGGACAUUUAUGGAGUGGUUGGAGCGAUGUUGCAUGUUGAUGAACCGAUGCAAGGUUUUUGCUGUACGGCAUUAAGAAAGUUGUUGUUUCUCUUUCUCCUAAUACAGUGCCUUGCAGGAUUAUCCAAGCACCUUGAACUUGUUCACAUUUUGUCACAUGGCCACCACAAACUUCAGUAUAUUUAAUUGGGAUUUUUAUGGGACCAACCAAAUUAGGGUACGAUUGUGAAGACUAAUCUUUAUGGAAACAUGGUUACAAUGUUGAAUUGUUAAAAGAAAAUCAUAACAGAUCUUGUUUGUCUAUAUUGCCAAAGCCAUAUAAAAGACACAGCAAAUGUGUGGAAAAGUGUGCUGGUCAGAUGAGACUAAAGUGUAAAAUGUUUGGCUUACAUACAAAAUCUUGUGUGUGGCAGAAAAUGAACACGAACACAGCAUUCCCACCGUGAAACAUGGCAGUGGCAACAUCAUGCUGUGGAGUUGCUUUUCUUUAGCAGAACAAGGAAACCGGACAGAGGUCAUUGGUAGAGGGAUGCAGCUAAAUAGGGCAAUCCUAACCUUUAAGAUUCUGCAAUGCAGUUGGGAUAGAGGCAGAGUCACCUUCCAGCAGAACAACGACCCUAAAUAUACAGCUACCUGGGAUGGUUUAGAGUGAACCCCUUUCAUGUGUUGGAAUGGCCCAGUUAAAGCUCAGACCUUACUACAACAGAGAAAAUGUGACAAAGCUUGAAAACUGAUGUUCAUAGACCCUCUGCAUCCAGGCUUACUUAGCAUAAGAUAUUUUGCAAAGACAAAUGGGCAGAAAUGUAUGUUUACAUGUCCAUAGCUGGUAGAAAUGACUUGCAGCUGUAACUGCUACAAAAAGUGGUUCUAUCAUUCGUUCAAAAGGAGCAAGUGCAAG